rnacentral:rRNA from 1 species
UACAGAGGGUGCAAGCGUUAAUCGGAAUUACUGGGCGUAAAGCGUGCGUAGUCGGUUAUCUAAGUUCGGAUGUGAAAUCCCCGGGCUCAACCUGGGAAUUGCAUUCGAUACUGGAUAGCUAGAGUUCGGCAGAGGGAAGUGGAAUUUCGGGUGUAGCGGUGAAAUGCGUAGAUAUCCGAAAGGAACAUCAGUGGCGAAAGCGGACUUCCUGGACCAGAACUGACGAUCAGGCACGAAAGCGUGGGG